GAUGAACGCUGGCGGCGUGCCUAAUACAUGCAAGUCGAGCGAACGGACGAGAAGCUUGCUUCUCUGAUGUUAGCGGCGGACGGGUGAGUAACACGUGGAUAACCUACCUAUAAGACUGGGAUAACUUCGGGAAACCGGAGCUAAUACCGGAUGAUAUUUUGAACCGCAUGGUUCAAAAGUGAAAGACGGUCUUGCUGUCACUUAUAGAUGUAUCCGCGCUGCAUUAGCUAGUUGGUAAGGUAACGGCUUACCAAGGCAACAAUGCAUAGCCGACCUGAGAGGGUGAUCGGCCACACUGGAGCUGAGACACGGUCCAGACUCCUACGGGAGGCAGCAGUAGGGAAUCUUCCGCAAUGGGCGAAAGCCUGACGGAGCAACGCCGCGUGAGUGAUGAAGGUCUUCGGAUCGUAAAACUCUGUUAUUAGGGAAGAACAUAUGUGUAAGUAACUGUGCACAUCUUGACGGUACCUAAUCAGAAAGCCACGGCUAAAUACGUG
rnacentral:rRNA from 1 species